GGGCAGUACUACACAUGGCAAGUCGAGCGGUAGAGAGAAGCUUGCUUCUCUUGAGAGCGGCGGACGGGUGAGUAAUGCCUAGGAAUCUGCCUGGUAGUGGGGGAUAACGUUCGGAAACGAACGCUAAUACCGCAUACGUCCUACGGGAGAAAGCAGGGGACCUUCGGGCCUUGCGCUAUCAGAUGAGCCUAGGUCGGAUUAGCUAGUUGGUGGGGUAACUUGGCUCACCAAGGCGACACAGAUCCGUAACUGGUUACUGAGAGGAUGAUCAGUCACAACUGGAACUGAGACACGGUCCAGACUCCUAUCGGGAGGCAGCAGUGGGGAAUAUUGGACAAUAUUGGGGCGAAAGCCUUUGGAUCCAGCCAUGCCGCGUGUUGGUGAAGAAGGUCUUCGGAUAUUUUGUAAAGCACUUUAAGUUGGGAGGAAGGGGGCCCAUUACCUAAUACGUUGGAUGGUUUUGACGUUACCGACAAGGAAUAAGCACCGGCUAACUCUGUGCCAGCAGCCGGCCGGUAAUACAGAGGGUGCAAGCGUUAAUCGGAAUUACUGGGCGUAAAGCGCGCGUACGUGGUUUGUUAAGUUGGAUGUGAAAUCCCCGGGCUCAACCUGGGAACUGCAUUCAAAACUGAGUGACUAGAGUAUGGUAUAGGGGUGGUGGAAUUUCCUGUGUAGCGGUGAAAUGCGUAGAUAUAUGAAGGAACACCAGUGGCGAACGCGACCACCUGUGACUGAUACUGACACUCAGGUGCGAAAGCGUGGGGAGCAAACAGGAUUAGAGACCCUGGUAGUCCACGCCGUACACGAUGUCAACUAGCCGUUGGGAGGCUUGAGGUCAUAUUGGCGCAGCUAAUGCAAUAAUUUUGACCGCCCUGGGUGAGAACGGCCGUCCGGAUGGAAACUCACAUGAAAUUUAUCGGGCGCCCUGCACAAACAGACGGUGGCGACGUCGUUUAAUUCCAAUAAAUCGCAAAUAAACCUUACCAGCGCCCUUGAUAUACACAUGGAACUUGACUAGAAAAAAGAAUAGAGUGCCGUUCCUUAACGUUGAGAACAGAUACAGACACCGGCAGUUGAUCAGACUCCAGGCCCCUGUACGUCAAGAUUUAGGUCUCUUACACAGACAACAAACCAUCGUCCUUAGUUACCAGCACGUUAUGGUGGGCACUCUAAGGAGACGGCCGGUGACAAACCGGAGGAAGGUGGGGAUGACGUCAAGUCAUCAUGGCCCUUACGGCCUGGGCUACACACCUGCUACAAUGGUCGGUACAGAGGGUUGCCAAGCCGCGAGGUGGAGCUAAUCCCAUAAAACCGAUCGUAGUCCGGAUCGCAGUCUGCAACUCGAAUGCGUGAAGUUGGAAUCGGUAGUAAUCGCGAAUCAGAAUGUCGCGGUGAAUACUUCCCGGGCCUUGUACACACCGCCCGUCACCCCAUGGGAGUGGGUUGCACCAGAAGUAGCUAGUCUAACCUUCGGGGGACGGUACCACAGAGAUCCGCGCACUAGGGAUACCCGACCGC
rnacentral:rRNA from 1 species